rnacentral:tRNA from 1 species
GCUUUGUGGUGUAAUGGUCAGCACGCUCGACGCGUAUUCGAGAGGUCCGUGGUUCGAGUCCCGGCGAGGGCA